UUCCCUUAUUGAAGUAGCCAAUAAUUUCAUAGUGAAAAGUAAGCAAUACGAGUCUUGUCGUCUUUGUUGAAUGACAAUUUUUCAGGAAUUCCCUUUUGUGGAGUAAAUUUCAUUUUCUGGCUGCAUAUGACACUUGAUACACAGGCACUUAGAAAUGGUAUGCAUGGCAUUCAUUAACUCAAAUUAAAUAGACUAAAUUGUGGAGUUUUGCAAAUAUCAGGUUAAUUGGACAAGGGUAACCUCUGAUUGUUGACACUUGUUUGUUGAAAAAAGAUCAUUGGAUAUUAUUCAUUAUUAACUGUCCAAUAAAUAUCUACAAAUCUUUAGUUUGCGGUCCAUCUAAACUGUUAUACAUAAUUUGGAUGGUUUAAUUUGAAUUACUUGAAUGAAAAAUGUGUGGUGUCAAAGUAUAAUUUCUAAGUGCCUGCUUAUCAUCUGUCUCACUCUGCCAGAAUAUCAAAGUAUUUCUUUUCCUUUUUGAGUGGUGUUCUUAAUGUAAUCUAUCUUGUUGUAUAGCUUUACAAAACCGAGGAGAAGAAGUAUCUACUCAAUCUACAGAGGGUGAUCUUAUACAGCUUUUCAGCAGUCUACUACGAACACUGCCAAGGAAAUAGUACCACUAAGAAAAAUCUAUCGUUGACCUGAAACUGAUUAUCGGUUGCAACGACUGCAUGCAUCCAAGGAUUCAACAUCUAUGGGGCAACAGAACAUGGUGAAAGAUCCUUCUUUGGUAAGCUCUUCCAGUGAUUUCAAUUUGGUCGACCGAAAGAUGAUUAAGACAAACAAAAAGCAAUUUCUACUGAAACAGAAAUUUUUGUUUGCUUAAUGAUGUGAAUUUGGUUUUCAUAUUUUGGUAAUUAUGUGAUUUGUUUAUUUUUUUCAUUAAUUUUUCAUUUCAUUGUGAUGAUUUGUUCGCUUCUAAUCAUGUGAUGGUUGAAAGGCAACAUGAACAGAGCUGUGUUUUCUUUAGCCUGGUGAACUUGCAUGUUCUUAAUAAAAUGGUAUUCUUGUGUUUUUACUGAACUGACCCAUUCACUGAGGAGUUUCAGUCCCAGCCAAAAACCCGUCCUGUUCAGUGAUGAGUUCUGAUCCCAACCAAUCCGACAGUCUGGGGCAUUCUAGGUAAGUAAACACUGGCCAUUGCUGAGGCUCAUCAAACUGGAAGCUCCUCAUUGAUCAAGCCUGCUGCUACCAUAAACUAAACAAGGUCAUUAAGGAGCAAAUGUCUAGGUGAAGUUGAAGUAGUGGCUACCUUUCUCUUAGAUAGUAGUGGCUACAUUUCUAGCCUUUGCCUUAAUUUCUUGAUUGUAAUUAGGUUUUGGCUCUUGGCUAAAAUAUCUCCACUUGGCCUUAAAAAGGAUCACAUCAUAUGCUUGUUGUAAAGCAUAAUCAUUUGCCUGUAGCCUCACCUUUUCCCUUAAGUCUUUCUUUAUACCGCAUUGCACACACCA